CCAGUUGCAUUAUAGUUUAACAACCGCACUUGUUUAUUCACACUUCUGAACUUCAGUGCACACCAGAGGCCCAUCACAACAUAGAUAUAAUCACACAGACACUAUACUGCACCGCUGCAUUCACAGGCAAUCACCUGACUGUGCUCGACCCUUACAUGACACAGCGAGAAGCUCCAUGCUGGCAGGACACAGAAGGAUCUGAAGGAACCAGAGCAGAAUUCUGCUCCAAAUUUAUCUGCCAUUUCUCCCAGCGUGCUCCUGGAGAGGAGAUUCUGGCAGUCCAGGAUGAUGCAACAGAUCUUGAGAGACAUGUUUGUAGAUCCAGAGCUUCUGGCUGAACUAAAUAAGGAGCAGAGGCCGUUUCUUUUCUACAAAAUAUGUCAGGAGCAGGUGCUACAUUAGACGGAGUGUGAGAGCCAAGAGGAAGGCUGGAAAAGACCCCUGAAUAACAAAAGAAAGGGUGAGUCUGGCAAGUCUAUCUUUCCUAGGUCUUCAUGUAAUCAGAUUAAGUCUUCCUUUUCUGGGUCCAAGCUCUCUAGGCCAAAUUUUGGCUUCCGGAUUGACCCACGCUGGUAAACAUAUUUUCGGUAACAACGAUGGCUGACCAGAAAGUGGGGACCAGCAACGUAAGUGUUCAACAUAAGAAAUAAAUUCAUACAGGGUUGGAACAAGGGUUAGUAAAUGAUGACAGAAUAGUAAUUCUGGGUGAACUAUCCUUUUAGCAAGUUUUGUCUUGCAUUUAUCACUUAUUUGUUUUGGCUUUUCAUCAGAGAAGGCAGUCCCAGCAUGCAUUGUGACAAGCUCAUUAACAAACUAUAUCCAAAAUGGUGGACACUUUGAUAGAAAAUAUAGAAAUAUAUUCUUUCCAUAAUAUUUGUCUCUGCAAUGAAUUCCUUAUUUAUAUGUUGUAAAGGAUUUCAACAUGAAAGAGUUUCAUGAUGUUUAGGAUGGUCACUUUCUAGGUAAUAUACAGCUCAAAAUUGCUGUUUAAAUACUAAUUCAUCCAAAAAUAAAAAAUCCUCUUGUUAAUUCCUCACCCUCAUGUUGUUUAAAACCCCAUAAGACUUUCAUUCAUCUUCGGAACUCAAAUGAAUAUAUUUGUAAUAUAACUUGUCUUUUAAAAAUCAUAUUUCCAAUGUUACAAAAACAGCAUUCUUCCAUCUUAGAAACAUUGCCAAGCUACGAAACAUGUUAUCUGUUUCUGAUGCAGAAAAGCUAGUUCCUGCAUUCAUGACCUCUAGACUGGACUAUUGUAAUGCACUUCUAGGUGGUUGUCCUGCAUCUUCAAUAAACAAGCUACAGGUAGUCCAAAAUGCAGCAGCUAGAGUCCUUUCAAGGUCAAAAAAAUCAUGAUCAUAUUACCCCAAUUUUACAGUCUCUGCACUGGCUACCUAUUAAGUUCCGUAUCAGUUACAAAUUAUCAUUACUUACCUAUAAGGCCCUAAAUGGUUUAGCUCCUGCGUAGCUAACUAGCCUUCUACCACGCUACAAUCCAUCAUGCUCCCUAAGGUCACAAAACGUUGGACUUUUGGCUUUUUCACAUUUGGCUCCCAAACUCUGGAAUAGGCUUCAUGAUAAUGUUCGGGGGUCAGACACACUCUCUCUGUUUAAAUCUAGAUUAAAAAUGGAUCUCUUUUGCAAAGCAUUCAAAUAAUGUAUCUUUAAUUGUGAGUGUAGUUGCAUCUGAUCAAAUGCGCAUUCUUAUUCUUUAGCUUGGGUUAAACUAAUUAAUAUUACUUUGUUGGAUCAGCAGCUAUGCUAAUGAUGUCUGUAUUUGUUUCUAUGUUUUGCCACGGGAUAUACACAAGCUCCAGUCUGGAUCCAGAACACCUGAGAAGAGAUGAUGCUGACCCUCAGAGGACCCCAGAUGAUGCUAACCUUGAAUCAACAAAUAGAACUAACAAAUAUUGCUACAAGUGUGACUGCAUCAUAUAAUAAUUAUUAAUUAUUAAUAAUAUUAAUAAUGUUCAUUGUCUGGCUGACUACGUCUUGUAUAAAUUUUUCUAAAAAUCCUGUCAUAUGUGCAAAAACUGACAGUCACCACUUAUAAGCUACUACUAAAUAUUGUAGAAACAUAAUUUUCUGUAAAGUUACUUUGUAAAGAUUUGUAUUUAAAAAGCGCCAAACAAAUAAACUUGAAUUGAAUUGAA